UGUGUUUUCUAUGUUACACAGACAAAAAUGUACUUUCAAACAGAACAUACAGGUAGGACAGAGGACAGGUACAGUAGGACACAGGACAGGUACAGUAGGACACAGGACAGGUAGGACACAGGACAGGUACAUUAGGACACAGGACAGGUAGGACACAGGACAGGUAAUACUGAUGUGACUACAGGUAGGAAACAGGACAGGUACAGUAGGACACAGGACAGGUAGGACACAGGACAGUAAUACUGGUGUGACUACAGGUAGGACACAGGACAGGUAGGACCCAGGACAGUAAUACUGGUGUGACUACAGGUAGGACACAGGACAGGUACAGUAGGACACAGGACAGGUAGGAAACAGGACAGGUACAGGUAGGACACAGGACAGGUACAGUAGGACACAGGACAGGUAGGACACAGGACAGGUAGGACACAGGACAGUAAUACUGGUGUCAUGGCAACAAGACUUUCAAACAGCAAAGUUAACAAGGUAAAACUAGUGCAACACAACAGAACGUCAUUGUAAAACUAACUGAUUAUGAAUCCAUGGA